rnacentral:rRNA from 1 species
GACAGAGGUCCCGAGCGUUAGGCGGAAUCACUGGGCUUAAAGCGUGUGUAGGCGGAUCGUUAAGUACCUUGUGAAAUCCCACGGCUUAACCGUGGAACUGCUUGGUAUACUGGCGAUCUUGAGCCACUUAGGGGCUACCGGAACAAAUGGUGGAGCGGUGAAAUGCGUAGAGAUCCGGAGGAACACCAGUGGCGAAGGCGGCACUCUGGGCCGGUACUGACGCUGAGGAGCGAAAGCGUGGGGAGCGAACAGG